GCGGAGGGAUGGCAGCCAGGAGAGGAGCUUGUGGUGCUCGGGGCACCCGGCACAGCUCUGUGCCACCUCCCAGCAGCUCCGCCUGUGCAUUGGUGCCAGUAACCUGCCCAGCAGUGCUGUGAGCGCAGAGGCACAUAAAGCCCACGUAUGUAAUUAAGGUGGCAAGAGGCAUUUCGUUAAUUAACGGCUAUUAUUUGUUAACAUCAAGCCGUAAGUGCAAAGCUCAACUCUAGCUGUGAAGCAAUAAGCGCAGCCUGAGCAACAACAGUAACAAGCCAACAAAGUAAUUGGGUCGUUAUUUCCACGAUAUCUUAAAAGUUUAACAAGAUUUUCUUGUUUUAAACAUUCACAUUCCAGAGCGUGGAAGGGAAAGCACUGCCUGCACGGAGGGAACGAUGUAAAAAUCAUUGGAAACAGAGCAGGGCUGCAGGUGAUGGGUGCCAAAGUGUCAUUAAACAAUGGAGGGCUCUAAAUAAAUAACCCUGUGACUGCUUGCCAUGCAGCGUGAGUCAGGAGGAGACCGCUGCAGCUGUGCCUGUGUACCCACAUAGCUCAGGGCAGAGGGAAAGUGCAGGGGGGUCGCACACCCACCUGAAGGGCCGGACCAGCAGCUCAGAUUGCUGUUUCCACGAGAAGGAAUCAGGCCACUUUGCAAGCAGGAAAUGCCGAAGGCAGCUGACAAAAACUUCUCGUAUAAUUGCAGCUUUAUUUUGCCAAAUUCUGAGCCGUCAUUUGCUGCCAGCAGUCCCACCUCUUCCAUCCAGGAGCUGGUGACAUUGAUGGAGCU